AUGUCACAGCUCUGAGAAAGACAGAGGUUCUUCUAAGAACAGUGUCCACCAUACUGAAAAGGUGACUUUUCCUUGAGGUUCUCUGAAUUUGUGUUCUUUUUCCAUUGCAUAUGUGAAAAUCGUGGCAUUGACACAUUUAUUUGUUUCAUCACAGACAUGAGGAACGGGGAUCACUGGCUUCUGAGCAAUCUACUUUCACAGUGUCAUUUACUUGAUUUUUCAGCUAUGACCUUUUAAUGUAAGGUGAACAUUCCAGAAACAUUUCGGACUAUCCUUUCAUAAUUCACCUAUGUUUCUCGAUGACUUUGAGCUAAGAAUGCCCUUAAAUAUCUCUGUUUUACAUUUGACCAUCUUCAGGAGAGGAUUUAACUUAGCUUGCUCAGGAGUAGGCGGAUCUAAUUGUGAAUGUAUCCAGAUUCCCUAAGUCUCAGUGCUUCCUUUAUUGAGCACAAUCAUUGCUUUGGAAAUGGCUCCUAUGCCCUCCUUACCUGCCACAGGAAAAAAUCUUUUUCAGCUGUUCUGUUUUGGAUGUUAUGCUAGCUAUUCUUGGUAGCGAAAUUAACCACAUCUGGAAUUAACUAAAACCCAAAGAGUUGGGUAGUGUGGGGAAUUUUUCUUAAUUAUAUUUUUGUACCUGGGAAAAACCUUAUUCUGGAUCUCUCGAUGCGAUAAGAUCCACCUUUAGUCUAGGUGACAGCUUCCCAUGGCAGCUUACAUAUAUAAAGGAGAUUGAAGAUGGUAGAUCUUUUUCUCUUUGUCCGCUUGCCCUACCUCUGGCUAGCAAUUUCAAUCUUUCAAACUGGCAUUAGAGCCUAUUUCUUUGAAAUUCAGGUAUAUACUGAAAACCAGCUUGUUGGGAGAGUGCCCUUGAAGCCCUCCAUUGUUGAUGUUAUUAUUAUGGUUAGAAUUAAGUAUGACUAGGUUCAUGGAAAAUCCCCAGCCAGCUGCAGAAGUCUAAUACAAAUCUGGUGGUCAAAAAAAUAAUAAUAUGAUAAAGUUCUCCUGCUGACUAAUAAUAUGACAAACCUGUGACCUUUGUAACAUCCUGUCAACAUCAGCCGAUUCCCUGACCACACGAAUACUGUGUCCUUGGCCUGUGUAAAUGUUUCACACUUCCCCCUCCCUCUGUUACCCCUGUUAUGGUAUAAAUUCAGCCUUGGAGAAAAAUAAAAUUGUCGCCUUGAUCAGACUCCUGUCUUGGUGUCCUUCUUUGUGUCUCUUGUCCCCCAUUCUCUUCCAGGUACCCCCAUCCCCGUCGUUGACAAAUGGCGCCCAGUGUGCAGCUGUUUGGAGGUCUUCUGGAGGAGAACAUCGUCCCCCGUGAAUAGACAGGCCUGUCUUCCUUGUUUGUCGGAGCCUUUGCUCCCUCGCUUUUGGCAACCAUGGACUGCCAACCUUGGUUCAGAGGCUUGGUGUGUGUUUCUCCCCUGACAACACAGAUCUCAGUGGUGAGUGAUGGGACAAGCAUUCUACAGAUAGCUUUUGUGACAGGACUCAGGGAGUCUCUCAGGAUGCGAAGAAUAGGGUUAAAAUUUUUAAAUAAAUUCUUAGAUUCUGUAGGAAAUAUUUGUCCAUAGUUCUCCCAGGGGGAACAAUUGACAGUUGGUGAUUGUUUAAUGGAUUGGCUAACCCUGUUGCUGAAGUCUGCCUUCUGUAAUGAAUAAAAGUUGUGUGCUUUUUGGGUUCAAGGUUGCCUCUCCCUGCAUGGAUGAGCAACCCCACAUACGUGGAUUAAAAACCUUAUACUCUCAUGCUAUUGCAGUGGUCACUUUGUCAAUCUGUGCUCUAUGGGUGGCACUCCUGAGGUAAGGCCACUAUGGGGUCUUACAACAUUUUUGUGCAUCAACCGGGAAUUGCACUCCUCCGAGACCACAAUUGGCAAAGAGAUCGGUGGUAAGCUCGAGCAAAUCUGUGUUCUGUGUUCUGUGUUACUUUCUGUUUUGUCUCUGUGUCAUGUUGUCUCAUCUUUGUUUCAUGUUGUCUUGUGUUGUCUGCGUCUGCUGUCUGAAGGGUUUGAGUCCCUUCAGAGGGGGGUUUGAGUCCCCCUCGGAGAGGGGUUAGAGUUCCCUCAGUGGUCGCUGUGGGUUCUGUGAGGGGCUUAUGGCUGUGACAGGCAGACGUGCUAGUUGUCACAGGCCACAGGCCCCAAAGGAUGCUCUAGGAGGAGAAAGGAAUCUAGAGGACACUCAAGAAUCCCAUUGAGAGGUGGAAUCAGACAGUCUGCCUCAUCCCAGAAGCAGCUAAGGUUAAGUUGCAGUUUGGGCCAGGUACUGAAGGUAUCAAGCAUCUGUGGAAAUUGGUUAUAGGAUGCCUUCUCUUGGUCUGGUUUGUCUAGUUUGUUUUCUGUGGUAUUGUCAUGUCUUUUUGGCUUUUGUUUUGUUUUUGGACUUGGACUGAUGACUGUGUUUGAAUUCAUGGACUGACGACUGUGUUUCAAAUCAUGGAGCUGUUUGUCAAGGAAUUUUACUUGGUUCUCUUGGUGCUUAACUUGGAAAUAAUUUGCUUGAGAGAAAUUGUUUUCUCCCCCGGGAGUUUUGUCUUUCUCUCUUGAGCCUCCUCCCCAAGGACAGAUGUCCCUCCUUUUGAUCCCCUUGCCCAGUCUAGCAACUAUUAACAGUUUAUCAUACAUGCGCAUGAAGGACUCCAGGUUAUCCAGUGAUCAUGUCUGAAGUAGGCAUAAACAAGAACCUGAAAGCUUUGCCUUGGAUCCUGAAGAAAGGAUCUCUCUGUUGUUUAGACAGUCACAGCUUCUAAAGAAGAGACAGCACAGAGUAGUGAAGUGUGGGGCUGAGGGUGACAGACAGCGAGCCUGCUAGCAAGCAAGCUGCAGGCUGAGCAUGGGCAGCAGCACAGCUCAGGCCAAGUCGGUGUAAGAGGAGUUUCAAGGUGAUGAGGCCGGCUGGGGCUGACGCUUUAACAGCAAAAAGAUAGUGGAGAGUUAGUGAUUAUUUAUUUUAAAGAUUAUUAUGAGACUUUUGGCCCUGAAAAAAAUUCCAGUCUCUGCCUUCAGUGGCCAGACCUUCAACACUUGCUCACAGGAGAGCGUUCAUUAAGAGAAGUUCUUUAAGGGAGCCUGCCGUAUCUGCUGGCCCUAUUCCAAGAGAGAGUUGAUCUCCAGCAUUAAGUCGCCUUCCCCGUUAGUCAUCAUUGACAUAGAGAGUGCCUCUGAUCCUAUCCCCACAGCAGUCAGUUCCUGCCCCUAUGGUCAAAAUGCCCCAGGCUUGGGGGCAGGGAGCCCCUAAAGUAGUUUCAGAAAGAGUCUGCAGCAGGAACUUUGUUUUGCCAGACAGAACAGGCUUUACUCUAGGAUGAUAACAGGAGAACGUCUUGGCAGGGGCUCUUCAGCCUACUCCAACUGGAGGCUGUGGCCAAGGUCAGGAUCAAUGUUUUCUUUUCCAUGGACCUCUAACCCAGUGAGACAGCUUGGUGAGGACUGCUACUGAAGUCCUGGAAUUCAGAGGCACAGGGAGGGCUAUAGUACUAUUAAAGGGCAGUACUCCAGUGUUAGCAAUCCCUUUAUUGGAUAUAAGAGGCAGGAAGCCCCACUCAACUGUGACUCCUGCCUCAGGAAUGGCAGUGGAAAGAGUCCUUACAGCCAGUCAUCUCUAACUAUAGCUUACUCUCUGAUAUCCGAGGCUUCAAUCGGAUCACACCCCCCUGGGCAAGCCUAACUUCAACACUCUAGAGACUCAGAUGCUUUUCUCCCCUGGUCUCUUGACUCAAGGUUGCCAGGAGUGUCUGACAUCCUGGAAGAAACCUCCCCCCUAAAGCGGACGAGUCAUACAAUUCUUUUGUCAGCCGCUUGGCAUCUAGCACCCAGGUCCUAACCAUCUCUCCAUCCUUUUGUUAUUAGUUCUUACUGGAAGCCUAGUGACGUUUGGAGGCUGAGUCUCUUGAGAGGCAGAGCCACCGAGCUGACACUGAAGGGAGGUACUCCUUAAGGGAGAAUCUAAGUCCAGAGGGACAGCCAGUAACAGACUGCAGCUGCCCCUCUGCUCACCUUUCUGUUUCACAGGCACAACGCUUGCUCUCGUUUUUGCACUGGCCUUUUUGUCCCAAGAAAGCUUCCUGGUUUAGCUGUGUGACUGAAUGCUAUUUGUCACCUGAUCUGGUUGUUCUGCCAGCUCUCACUGGGCCAUCCUCUAGCUUUCUUGCCUGGCCCCUUUCCUCUGUUCUUAAGAAUUUUAUCACCUAAUACACUGCAUUGUUUGACUUAUAAUACCUCCCGUCCUACUAAUAUGCAUGUCCCAGAUUCCCAUUGUGAAGGUUCUAAUUCUAAAACAAGGGGAUGGUGUAUCCCCCUAAAUAUUAAAUUUACCUCUGUGGUUUGAAACCAGGAUUGAAUACGUGGAUAUACUUGGGGUCUUAGAAUGUUUCAAUCACGUGCUGAUAAAGGGAUUAUAUUUACCAUAAAAUUGUUAAAAGAGCCUGUACAUUCCUACUUCCUGCCUUUUGGUCACUCAUCCCAAGAAGGAGCCCAUGGAGGUGCUGAACACGGUGCAGGGCACACGAGACUUCAUCUAUAGCCUGCACUCCACCAAGAGGAGCUGCUUGCUCAAAGAACUGCACUGCUUCAAGACCACUGCUGUCCCACAAGAAGAACUGGAAGCUCUACCGCCCUCUCCAGGACAGCUGAGAUAUGUAUUCUUCCACAAUGCGAUACCUUUUGUAGGGUUUGGCUUUUUGGAUAAUGCUAUUAUGAUUGUUAAAGAACCCAAAUUGAAUUGUCUAUUGGAUUUAUUUUGAGAAUUUCAACAAUAUCAAUCAACAUGUUACUUUUCCUCCUAUGUAUCAACAUAUUAUUUAAUUUUCAGUUAUUGAUGCUGUACUGUACUGAGUUGGGGUUUGCUUAUUUCUGAUUUAACAUGCAUGGGAUACCUAUGUAUGUCUUUUUUUUCUGAUGGUUAUAAUUCAAUGCUGAGGUUUCUCCAAAUUAUUUAAGAUGUUUAAUAUCAGUUAAAAUUGUAAUUCUCUGCCUGGUGGCAUCCCUUCUGUGAUAUUUCAUGGUAAACAUCUAAAAUCAUAUAAAUUCAUUCAAUUUUUAAGCUUCCACAUCUAUCCAAAAUGGAGUAGAGUUUUAAGUAUAUCUGACUAUUUUAAUUUUGACCUGCACUGUCUUUAAGAGUCAGAGGUUAAUUAAAAAGGACAAUUGGCUGACCCCUAUUUUACAUAAGCUGUGUAUGCUAACAAGUGUACUUCUUCCUGGUUGUCUUUUUAUCUUUAAUUUCCCAACUUUGAACAAUCACAUUAAUUCUGAUUUGUGAGAGAAAGGCAGUGCUUGGCUACUUCCUGUGUCUUAGAAUAUGGUUAAAGAGAGAUAAAGUCAGAGAAGGCGUAGAAAAGAGAAAAUGAGAAAGAGAAAAAGCUGAGAGCUGAUAUCAAAAUUGCUUCUCCACCUCUCUUUGGUUCUCCACUCUGCUUCCCUCUCUGUUUUGGCCCUCGGACAUUUAAUUGUUUAACCAGCUUUAUUAAACAACAGGUAGAUAAUAUAGCAGCAAAACCUAUCCAGGUACAUUAUCAUAGGCCAGCUAUGGAGGAUGACUACACAUCUCCUCCCAGCCCAGGCAGGGACAUUUUUGUCCUUCAGCCAAAUGAGGCCAACAUUCUUUUUUGCCUGCUGUCCUGAUGCUUUUGCUGAAAAAAAAAAUCAAUGAAUUGUCACCCCUGUGUGCUGAGCUGGACAGUCAAUGACAAGUAAGAGAGUGAUAUAUUCAUGAAUAAAGGGCCUAAGACAGGAGGGCCACCAUUAGCUGCUGCCUUAUCCCAUGACAGACCCUGGCCACAAGAUUCUCUUGGCCAUGUGAUAAAUAUCACUCCAACCUAAGACAGACGCAGUUCCUGAGGGGCUCAUUUCCAGGACAAGCACAGCCAUUUGGCUACCUUUUCAUUUGACUAUGAGGAAGGGGGAGAUGUUGGGAGUGAUGCCCUUGAAGCCCUCCAUUGUUGAUGUUAUUAUUAUGGUUAGAAUUAAGUAUGACUAGGUUCAUGGAAAAUCCCCAGCCAGCUGCAGAAGUCUAAUACAAAUCUGGUGGUCAAGAUAAAUAAUAAUAUGAUAAAGUUCUCCUGCUGACUAAUAAUAUGACAAACCUGUGACCUUUGUAACAUCCUGUCAACAUCAGCCAAUUCCCUGACCACACGAAUACUGUGUCCUUGGCCUGUGUAAAUGUUUCCCACUUCCCCCCUCCCUCUGUUACCCCUGUUAUGGUAUAAAUUCAGCCUUGGAGAAAAAUAAAAUUGUUGCCUUGAUCAGACUCUUGUCUUGGUGUCCUUCUUCGUGUCUCUUGUCCCCCAUUCUCUUCCAGGUACCCCCAUCCCCGUCGUUGACACCAGCUGAGGCAUCUAGCCACAUGAACUGAACAACUAUAGGAUUCUUCACUUUUCCCGUUUUUGGACCCACUGAAGAAGAUGUGCUGGUUAACAGUAGUGCUCCAGUGUUUGUCAUGUGUUUCCUUCUUUGCGCUGAGGGGUCUCAUAACUAUCAGGAUCAGCCUUCCCUGGAGCAUACGUAUCUACAGGAUUAGGUGCGUCUUCUCCCACUGACACCGGAAGAGGCUCUCUUCUGUUACAUAUGUGCCUGGGACCACAUGUCGCGCGCCCAACGUCUCGCCAGCAAGAACGACGCGCGGACAUCAGGAUCCUUCUGCAGCAAAGCGUUUAUUGCAUCUUGAAGAGGAGAGAGCCGGGGCCCAGAAUGGCGCUGCUUAAAUACACCCUAGUGCGGCGCGUCCACACCUGAUUUGUCGCUUACCCAUGAUCUCAUAGGCACGCCCCGGAGUGGGCAAAGACCUGGCACGAAGGCACUCUUGCACAUGUGCACACAGUUAACUUCCUGAAAGGAAGUCGGCUGGCGCGGCGGAGGCCAGCGCCAUCUUGUAAUGGCGAAAGCUAUCCUGGCUUUCCACGUGGGGUGCAGUGGAAGCCAGCGCCAUCUUGUGGUGGCAAAUGUUAUUGCGGCCCUCUACAACCACAGACCAGCCCAUGUAUGCUCCCCGGAGAGGGACUGAGGGAUCUGAGUAGAAGAAGAGGAGGAGAGAAGGGGGUGAGGAUCAGGUAUGGAGGGAGACAGAAGAGAAGCCCAGAGGACCAGGAGAACGAAUGGGAAUCUGCAGCUGCUGGGUGUGGUGGGCGGGGUGAACCUGUCCUUUGUAUUUUCUUUAUAUUCCUAUUUCUAUUUUUACCCCAUGAACUAUUGUUUUUUUCUUCAACAGUUUGCUAGUUUUUCUUGCUUCAUUUAUGGAAUUUCUUGGUUUUGUCUAGUUGUUUGAUCAUAUUUUCCAGGAUUUAUACAUUGCAUCUUUAAGGACCUCUAUCACCUUCAUACUGUUGCUUUUAAGGCCUUCUUCUUGUGCUUUCAGUUAUGGUAGAAUUUUCAAGACUUUCUGUGUGAGGAAAGCUUUGUUCUAUCAUGACAUAUUUUUCUGGCUGUUAUAUUCCUAAACUGGUGUCUAGGCAUCUAGGUUUGUUGUGAUUAUAGUUCUAGGUGCUGAUUUCUGUGUUUUCUUUUGGAGGGAAUUUUGAUCCUAGGUUUAUGUUCUCUGCCCUUUCAGGGAGUAUGUUGGAUGAGUGUUGCUCAUUUACUGAUUUGGUUUUUGGGAGUGUUUAAGGGCGCGUGUUUGCUGGUUUUGGAGGUUGGGGGAAGAGGAAACAAGGGAAAGAUGAUCUUAGUAAUCCAUAGGACAUUUGACAGAAGAGAGAGGAAGCUUUCUUUUGUGUUAUAUAGUCCAGUGCUAGGGAAAACUGAAAAUUGCGUCUAGAGCAACAGAUAGUGUGUUAGAUCUAAGAACAGCCUAAGUGGUCUUCUGGCAAGCAUGGCAUAUGGUUGAGAAGGUGUGUAUCUUGCUGAGCAGGGGCUGGAACAUAGAGGUGAGACAGGAGAAGAAGGGCACUUGAGGAUUUUCUGUGGUAUUUAUUGGGGCCAUGGAAACUGGGAGAAAAAGCUUUUCCUCCUAUUGUGGUACAGUGUUUGGGCAAGUAUGAGAGUUGGUUCUAGAAUACAGAUAGUGGGAUAGCCUCUGGACAGAAUGCCUGGUCUUCUGGCAGUUCUGGCAUGGUUUUCAGUAGGAAGUUUCUGUGUAGAGUCGAGGGCUCAAAUACAAAGACAGUGCAAGAACAGAAAGGAAGAUAGAAAUGAUCUUUGGAUCUAUGGGAGGCACAGACAUAUGAUGGGAAGCUACAGUCCUAAGGACAACCUUGAGCAUUGGAUCUGUGACGGUUUGUAUAUAGUUGGACCAGGGAAUGGCUCUGUUGGAGCAGGUGUGGCCUUGUGGGUGUGGACUUCAUCCUGGAAGCCAGUAUUCUGCUAGCAGCCUUCAGAUGAUGUAGAACUCUCAGCUCUUGUACCAUGUCUACCUGGAUGCUUCCAUGUUCCCGUCUUGAUGAUGAUGAACUAAAACUCUGAACCUGUAAGCCAGCCCCAAAUAAAUGUUUCCUUGUAA